UUUUACUUCCGCAUUGUCUGCUUCUGCUUGUAUCAGUCGGCGGUGAGCCCGUAAACAGAUCACAGCAUCCCCAUGUGGAUGGAUGUUUACUAGAAGGUACACAGACAAGAGUUUCCAAUCAGUCUUUGGUUCAGACAAGUAAUAAUGGAAAGAAAUUAUAUUACAAGUGGGGAAACAGUUAUAAUAACGAAUACGGUCAGCUAUGUUCAUUUUUUGCAUGAACUGAACUGAAAGACAACAUAUUGUAACACGGCUUGGGAGGGACUGGUGUGAUAGUGUGCGCAAUGAACCAGAGAAUGCAGUUAUGAGCAAUUAUAAAGAGUGUUAUUGAAAAUCACUGUAAUACACUUGAAACAGAGUUUGCACUUAUCAGGAGUGAAGUGUAUAUCACUACUUUCCAAUAAAUUCUAACACAAUUUUAUUUUUUACCUUUAUUUAACCGGGCAAGUCAGUUAAGAACAAAUUCUUAUUUUCAAUGACGGCCUGGGAACAGUGGGUUAACUGCCUGUUCAGGGGCAGAACGACAGAUUUGUACCUUGUCAGCUCGGGGGUUUGAACUUGCAACCUUCCGGUUACUAGUCCAACGCUCUAACCACUAGGCUACCCUGCCGCCCCCAUCAUUAAUGCGCAGCAUUACAGUUUUUCCCAAGUAUUAACACACUAAAAUUGGAACUUGAAACGCAGUCACCGAAACCUUAAACUCAUGUACCAAAUCCCUAAACCAAGUCUGCAAAAUUGCAAGCACAAUUCGCUCUUUUACACUCCGUUUUCAAUUCUAUAUCACACUUUUUGCAAAACACUACACACAGUUCUCUAAAUUAGGUACAACAUUACAAAUGAAAAUCUAUUUUGUUCCCUUUGGAAAGCAACGCCAAUCACAAUGCCAAACUCUAUACACCAAUUGGCAACACCCACUCCUCACUGGUGUAAACACCAGUUGCUGAGUUGUUCGCUUAGAAAUCAGAGCUUUAGCGCUAUAAAAGGCCACAGAUGAGCUCUUCUGUUUUGGAGGAAAAUGGAAGUCAAUGGUGAAGCAAGAGCUAGAGGUGAAGGAGUGAGAGGAAGAGGAGAACGAGGAAGGACCGUUGUCUCAGAUGAGAUCAGGGCCACAUUGGUUGACCGGGCAGAGAGGCUGGGCAGAGAGCUCCGCUACACAGUUGCAUCUAUCAUCCGUACAUUCAGAAAUGACAACCGGUGGGCUUGUCUACAUUGGACCGUGUAUUACAGCACAACCGAAUCCGGUUGAAACGGGUCUACAGGGGGCCAUUUGAGCGACACUCAGAGAGGGUUAAGGAACAGCGCUAUGGAUAUGUGCAAAGUCUUGGAGCUGGAUCCUGCUGCAAUUCAACACGUUUAUAUGUACAUUGAUGAGGCUAACUUCAACCUAGCCAAAAGACAGGGAUGGAACAUUAUUGGCCACCGUGCCAUUGUGAAUGUCCCUGGACAGCAUGGAGGGAAUAUCACCAUGUGUGCAGCCGUUAGCCAGCAAGGCAUCCUCCAUCACCAUGCCAACCUUGGUCCCUACAACACCGCCCUUCUCAUUACAUUCCUGGACACACUACAAGGCAUCCUCCAUCACCAUGCCAACCUUGGUCCCUACAACACCGCCCUUCUCAUUACAUUCC